UGAACUCUGUGAGGGCCACCCUGGAGAGGGACCCCCAGGGAGCCCAGGAGAGGCAGCAGCAGCAGGGUGUCGUCCCCUUCCUGGGCACGUUCCUCUAUCACCUGAAGCUGCUGGACACUGGGAUGGCGGAUGAUCUGGAACUACUGGGUCUCCUGCCGGCUGGAGCCCGCACACCAGAAGGCGAGCAAAAUGCGGCUCUU